UACAGAGGUCCCAAGCGUUGUUCGGAUUCACUGGGCGUAAAGGGUGCGUAGGCGGUCGGGUAAGUCUGAUGUGAAAUCUCUGGGCUUAACCCAGAAAUGGCAUUGGAUACUAUUCGGCUUGAGGUCUGGAGGGGGGACUGGAAUUCUCGGUGUAGCAGUGAAAUGCGUAGAUAUCGAGAGGAACACCAGUGGCGAAGGCGGGUCUCUGGACAGUUCCUGACGCUGAGGCGCGAAGGCCAGGGGAGCAAACGGG
rnacentral:rRNA from 1 species